AAGUCGUAACAAGGUUUCCGUAGGUGAACCUGCGGAAGGAUCAUUAAUGAAAUUCAAGGACGCUCUUUUUAGAGGUCCGACCAAUUACAUUUACCUUCACACUGUGCACAUUACUAUUUUACACCAUUUUUUAACGCUUCAGUCUUAAGAAUGUAAGUAGUCUCUUAACUGUGCAUAAACAAAACAAAA
rnacentral:misc_RNA from 1 species